CGGGGGGAGCAAGCGUUGUUCGGAUUUACUGGGCGUAAAGGGCGCGUAGGCGGCCUCUGCAAGUCGACUGUGAAAUCUCCGGGCUUAACCCGGAACGGUCAGCCGAUACUGCAGGGCUAGAGUGCAGAAGGGGCAACUGGAAUUCUCGGUGUAGCGGUGAAAUGCGUAAAUAUCGAGAGGAACACCUGCGGCGAAGGCGGGUUGCUGGGCUGACACUGACGCUGAGGCGCGAAAGCUAGGGGAGCGAACGGGACUAGAUACCCCGGUAGUCCUAGCCUUAAACGAUGAAUGCUUGGUGUCUGGGGUUUUAUAGUCCCCGGGUGCCGUCGCUAACGCUUUAAGCAUUCCGCCUGGGGAGUACGGUCGCAAGACUG
rnacentral:rRNA from 1 species